UCGGCGAGCGGCGGACGGCUGAGUAACGCGUGGGAAUCUGCCCCAAAGUGAGGGAUAACUGCCCGAAAGGGUAGCUAAUACCGCAUAUGGUCUUCGGAUUAAAGCAUUUAUGCGCUUUGGGAGGAGCCCGCGUCGGAUUGGGUAGUUGGUAGGGUAAUGGCCUACCAAGCCGACGAUCCGUAGCUGGUCUGAGAGGAUGAUCAGCCAGACUGGGACUGAGACACGGCCCAG
rnacentral:rRNA from 1 species